rnacentral:rRNA from 1 species
AGUGAACGCUGGCGGUAGGCCUAACACAUGCAAGUCGAACGGCAGCACAGUAAGAGCUUGCUCUUACGGGUGGCGAGUGGCGGACGGGUGAGGAAUACAUCGGAAUCUACUUUUUCGUGGGGGAUAACGUAGGGAAACUUACGCUAAUACCGCAUACGACCUACGGGUGAAAGCAGGGGAUCUUCGGACCUUGCGCGAUUGAAUGAGCCGAUGUCGGAUUAGCUAGUUGGCGGGGUAAAGGCCCACCAAGGCGACGAUCCGUAGCUGGUCUGAGAGGAUGGUGAGCCAGACUGGGACGAGGACACGGGCCAGACGCCUACGGGAGGCAGCAGUGGGGAAUGGUGGACAAAGGGCGCAAGCCUGAUCCAGCCAUGUGGCGUGAGAGAAGAAGGGCUUCGGAUUGCAACGCUCUUUUGUUGGGAAAGAAAAGCAGCAGGUUAAUACACCGCGGUUCUGACGGUACGGAAAGAAUAAGCACAGGCUAAGUUCGUG